rnacentral:tRNA from 1 species
AACUGUUUAACUAUUACAAGUUUAUGUCUUGAAAACAUAAAAUAGCUAUUAAAUUUAGCUAACAGUUU